rnacentral:rRNA from 1 species
UACGGGGGGGGGCAAGCGUUUGUUCGGAAUUACUGGGCGUAAAGGGCUCGUAGGCGGCCAACUAAGUCGGAUGUGAAAUCCCCAGGCUUAACCUGGGAACUGCAUCCGAUACUGGAUGGCUUGAAUCCGGGAGAGGGAUGCAGAAUUCCAGGUGUAGCGGUGAAAAUGCGUAGAUAUCUGGGAGGAAUACCGGUGGCGAAGGCGGCAUCCUGGACCGGCAUUGACGCUGAUGAGCGAAAAGCUAGGGGGAGUAAAACCGGG